GAGGGUAUAGCUCAAGUGGUAGAGCACAGGCUUAGUGUGCAUGAGGUCCUGGGUUCAAUCCCCAGUACCUCUU
rnacentral:tRNA from 1 species